rnacentral:pre_miRNA from 1 species
AUGUUUUUGACAUUUCAAUGAGAGUGAGCGAGAUGACUAGAUCAAGAUCUCACUCACUCUCAUUAAAAUGUCAAAAAC